UUUUUGGCGGGAAAAUCACGGGU
rnacentral:snRNA from 1 species